GAUGAACGCUGGCGGCGUGCUUAACACAUGCAAGUCGAACGAAGAUGCCGGAGUGCUUGCACUUUGGCAGACUGAGUGGCGGACGGGUGAGUAACGCGUGGGUAACCUGCCUUAUACAGGGGGAUAACAGUUGGAAACGACUGCUAAUACCGCAUAAGCGCACGGUAUCGCAUGAUACAGUGUGAAAAACUCCGGUGGUAUAAGAUGGACCCGCGUCUGAUUAGCUAGUUGGUGAGGUAACGGCCCACCAAGGCGACGAUCAGUAGCCGGCCUGAGAGGGUGAACGGCCACAUUGGGACUGAGACACGGCCCAAACUCCUACGGGAGGCAGCAGUGGGGAAUAUGCACAAUGGGGGAAACCCUGAUGCAGCGACGCCGCGUGAGU
rnacentral:rRNA from 1 species